ensembl:misc_RNA Metazoa_SRP Metazoan signal recognition particle RNA
GCUGGGUGUGGUGCACGCCUGUAAUCCCAGCUACUCAGGAGGCUGAGGCAGAAGAAUCGCUUGAACCUGGGAGGCAUAGGUUGCAGUGAGCUGAGAUCGCGCCACUGCACUCCAGCCUAGGUGACAGAGCGAGACUCCGUCUCAA